AGUGAACGCUGGCGGUAGGCCUAACACAUGCAAGUCGAACGGAAGCACAGUAAGAGCUUGCUCUUACGGGUGGCGAGUGGCGGACGGGUGAGGAAUACAUCGGAAUCUACUUUUUCGUGGGGGAUAACGUAGGGAAACUUACGCUAAUACCGCAUACGCCCUACGGGUGAAAGCAGGGGAUCUUCGGACCUUGCGCGAUUGAAUGAGCCGAUGUUGGAUUAGCUAGUUGGCGGGGUAAAGGCCCAGCCAGGCGACGAUCCGUAGCUGGUCUGAGAGAAUGGUCAGCGACACUGGAACGGAGACACGGUCCAUACUCCUGCGGGAGGCAGCAGUGUGGAAUAUUGGGCAACGGGCGCAAGCCUGAUCCAGCCAUACCGCGUGGGUGAAGAAGGCCUUCGGGUUGUAAAGCCCUUUUGUUGGGAAAGAAAAGCAGCAGGUUAAUACCCCGCUGUUCUGACGGUACCCAAAGAAUAAGCACCGGCUAACUUCGUG
rnacentral:rRNA from 1 species